CGGCAAGCCUGAUGCAGCGACGCCGCGUGAGGGAUGACGGCCUUCGGGUUGUAAACCUCUUUCAGCACAGACGAAGCGCAAGUGACGGUAUGUGCAGAAGAAGGACCGGCCAACUACGUGCCAGCAGCCGCGGUAAUACGUAGGGUCCGAGCGUUGUCCGGAAUUACUGGGCGUAAAGAGCUCGUAGGUGGUUUGUCGCGUUGUUCGUGAAAACUCACAGCUUAACUGUGGGCGUGCGGGCGAUACGGGCAGACUUGAGUACUGCAGGGGAGACUGGAAUUCCUGGUGUAGCGGUGGAAUGCGCAGAUAUCAGGAGGAACACCGGUGGCGAAGGCGGGUCUCUGGGCAGUAACUGACGCUGAGGAGCGAAAGCGUGGGGAGCGAACAGGAUUAGAUACCCUGGUAGUCCACGCCGUAAACGGUGGGUACUAGGUGUGGGUUUCCUUCCUUGGGAUCCGUGCCGUAGCUAACGCAUUAAGUACCCCGCCUGGGGAGUACGGCCGCAAGGCUA
rnacentral:rRNA from 1 species